rnacentral:snRNA from 1 species
GGGGAUGACAUGAAUCUGGCUGCAGUACCAGUCACCACAUUGAUGACCUGAAUUGAUUCUGCUGACCUGGCAGACUGGACUGGUGUUUCCUUAUUUUCUCAUGUGCAGUUUUCCUAAAGUUGUAUAUUCAGGAAGAAAAACUUAAUUUCCUGGACUAUUGUGGACAUGUGAUUCAG